rnacentral:rRNA from 1 species
CAGCAGCCGCGGUAAUACGUAGGUGGCAAGCGUUAUCCGGAAUUAUUGGGCGUAAAGGGCGCGUAGGCGGACAGUUAAGUUGGGGGUGAAAGCCCGGGGCUCAACCUCGGAAUUGCCUUCAAUACUGGCUGUCUUGAGUGUGAGAGAGGUGUGUGGAACUCCGAGUGUAGAGGUGAAAUUCGUAGAUAUUCGGAAGAACACCAGUGGCGAAGGCGGCCAUCUGGGACAACACUGACGCUGAGGCACGAAAGCGUGGGGAGCAAACAGGAUUAGAUACACCAGUAGUCCCUGUCUCUUAACA